UAGACAUGAGCAGCAUCCAGUUCCAGGCUUGAUUUAGCUGCCAAGUUUUUGCUUGACUUUGAAAAGGUAACACUGUAAAAUGAAGAAUUUUGUCAUCCUAUUCUCUCCUCCAAACAAAAUCAUAUGUCUUUCUCAGUCCAUUCAUGCUGCUAUAACAAAAUACCAAAAACUAGGUGACUUAUAAACAAUAGAAAUUUAUUUCUCACAGCUCUGAGAAGUCCAUGAUCAGUGUGCCAGCAGAUUCAGUGACUGGUGAGGAUUUGCUUCCUAAUUUAUAGAGAAUGUCUUCUUUUGAUGUGUCCUCACAUCGCAGAAAAGUGAGAAUGGAUCUUGGACAGUAUAUGAAUUCUCUUUCAGUACUGGCACUUUUCUACUUUCUCAAUUUCUCAGACAAACACAUUUGAUCCUGACAGCCGGCAGAAACCUAUUACUUAAAUUCUGUCAUUGAAAAGCAUCUGUCCAGGCUGGGGAUUUAGCUCAGUGGUUUCGCCGCCUGCUGCGCAAGCGCAAGGACCCAAGUUCGAUCCCCAGUACCAAAAAAAAAAAAAAAAGAAGAAGAAAAGCAUCUGUCCUAGAACUUGAAUCAAGAAAUUAACACAAAUAGUGUAGACACCAGAGAAUUCUUCAGGAGGUGGUAAAGUUUUAAGCAACCUAGAGUUUCCAGGGAUAGCAUUGGAAGCUGUGCCUUGUAGGCCUCUUGUGUAUGAAAUCACUGGUGUGAGUGGAAUAAUGUUAUUCUUCUGUAAUUAGGUAAAAAUCCUGUGCCCUUUUACAUGCAUGUAUUUGUUCUCCAAUUAAAUUAAAAUAUUUAGGUAUGAGCCUUUCUUUCAAUUUUUUUUAGUGUUCUAGUACAUUAGCUCAAAAUAUAAAAUUAUUUUAAAUAUUUUCAGUAAAAGAAAAAAUUUAUUUAAAAAAUUAAGUCACUGGUGACACACUUGAAUAUUUAAUUUAACUGUUCACAAAUAUUGAUUUUUAAACAAUUUAUAU
rnacentral:lncRNA from 1 species